AACGAACGCUGGCGGCAUGCCUAACACAUGCAAGUCGAACGAGACCUUCGGGUCUAGUGGCGCACGGGUGCGUAACGCGUGGGAACCUGCCCUUAGGUUCGGAAUAACUCCCCGAAAGGGGUGCUAAUACCGGAUAAUGACUUCGGACCAAAGAUUUAUCGCCUUUGGAUGGGCCCGCGUUGGAUUAGCUAGUUGGUAGGGUAAAAGCCUACCAAGGCGACGAUCCAUAGCUGGUCUGAGAGGAUGAUCAGCCACACUGGGACUGAGACACGGCCCAGACUCCUACGGGAGGCAGCAGUGGGGAAUAUUGGACAAUGGGCGAAAGCCUGAUCCAGCAAUGCCGCGUGAGUGAUGAAGGCCUUAGGGUUGUAAAGCUCUUUUACCCGGGAUGAUAAUGGCAGUACCGGGAGAAUAAGCGCCGGCUAACUCCGUG
rnacentral:rRNA from 1 species